GGAGAUGAUGCACGCAGGCCCCACCCCUGGGAAGCUUCCCGGCUGGCAAAUGAGGAAUGAGCCCGUCACCCUGGGCCCAGACAGACCCAGCGACAAAGCCAGGCCAAGAUGCGGGCAGACGGGUGCUGUUGGAUGACGACAGCCCACAGUUCUAAUGGCUACUUCUCAUUAAGCACUUACUAAGUACAAGACUCCAAGCUAAGCGAUUUAUAGAUGUUUUUGCACCUACUCUUUCCCACAAGUCUAUGGUGUAGGCAUCCUCCUUAUUUUUGCAGAUUGGAAAAGGAAGCUGAGAGAGCUCUAGCAAUCACCCUGGUUAGGCAUCACACAGCUAACCAGUGGGAGGGCCGAAAUUCAAAUCUAGGUCUGCCAACUCCAAAGCCUCUGUGCUUCCAUCCACCCCAAUUCGUGGCCACCCCAAACUCUAGGUGAUGGGGAGGGGGGUCCAGAAAAGCCUCAAGGACUCCUCACUGCCAAUAGCAUAACCUAUCCCAGCCGAGGUGCCCCACAACCUGGCCCCUGCCUGCCUUUCCGCCGUCACCCCGCCCACACCCACCACACCUCAGAUUUCUAUCUGGACCUUUUCCAAGUCGAGCCCCCCAAGCUUGCUUCUGCUAUUCACGCAAGCUCAAAUGCCUGCCCCAUUUUACAGAUGAGAAAACAGAGGAUUAAGAAGGCUAAGUAACUAGCCCAAGGUCACACGGUUGCUUAGAACCCAGGUCAUUAGAGCAUCAAGUAAUAAAGCAUUAAUUUGUGUUACAGACAAUUAGGGAAUGGGAAUUAGCAGGACGUGCUGCUAAUGGGGCAGAAGAAAGUAGAGGAGAGAGAUCAGGUGAAUUCCAGAGUGGAGGGGACCAGGCCAGGCCUUGAGGAAUGGCAGGAGACAGAUGGGCUAACUUUAGAGAGAACAGUGUAAGAAAAGUAUAAGGGCAAGAGAAAAAAGAGAGGGAGAGAGAGCGUCUGGGAGGCCCAGUCCGUUAAGCAUCUGACUCUUGAUUUCUGCUCAGGUCAUGAUCUCACAGUUCAUGAGAUCGAGCCCCACAUGGGGCUCCAUGCUGACAGUGCAGAGCCUGCUGGGGAUUCUUCUCCCUCUCUCUCUCUCUCUCUCUCUCUCUCUCUCUGCCUCUCCCCUGCUGGCAUGCACAUACACAUGCACUCAUGCUCUCUCUCUCUCUUCCUCUUUUUCAAAAUAAAUAAAUAGACUUUUUAAAAAAGCUUUAAAAGAGAGAGAGAGGUAGAGUAAGGUGUGUCAAAAUUAAGAAGGCAAUGUGACAUGGUGGCAAGAGUAGUGGCAUGGGGGCCAGGACACCCAAUGUGUCCCACAAACGACUCUGUGAUGUUGGACAAGGCCCUUCCCUCUCUGGGAGAUGCCUUCUCUGUAAAUGAAAGACUGAUGGGCCUUGGUGGUCUCCAGAGUCCCACCAGGCCCAGUCAUCCUAGGAUUCGGACUGUGUGUGUUGCCACUGGGCCUCAAAACACAGGAUCUAACCCCAGACUCACUGACGUGGGGCACAGAUUUGGACACCACGCUCAGGCAGGAGCCAGCAGCCAACAUGGCACCCGAAAGGACACACCGGAGGGCUGGUCCCAGCUACACACCGGGAGGAGUCCCUGUAUCCCCCUUCUCCAUGAAUGAAUCCGUGCUCUAAGCAUGUCUGGGCUCCCCACAGCGAGUCCAGUCCUGGAACAGAGGGGUGAAUGAGUCAAGGCAGAAUUGGGUGCUCUGCCCACCAGUAGCUAAAAGCCUGGACCCCAGUUUAUCCUUAGGAAAGGGGAAGAAAAUGGGGAUCGUUGACGAAGGGACAGAGAAAACUUCCUGAGAGUAAGGGAGGGGGUAUCAGGACUAGAAUAAGCUGGAGGACAUUUGGGGAACAAGAAUGGUCCCCAGUCAAGACAGCGCUGCACCCAAGUACAGACUACGUUCCAGAACGCUCUUCCUUGAGUGUCUGCGGUAGAAGAGAUGCCACUGGAGGGCUCCGAGUCAGCAGGGGCAGCAGGUGCAUCACUAGAGACUGCAGACACGCGCGUGUGUGUACACACACACACACACAAGCAUCUGCACUAAGACCCCCAUGUCAGGUCGCCCAUCUCCCCACCUCCAAACUGAGCCCUUCCGACUUCUCCCACUGUCCAGAGAACAUGUCCCUCAUGUGCCGAUGACAGGGAGCUCUGGAAGCCAAAGAUCUCGCUGCCUCGCCCUGCUCCCUAGAGCUGCAAUUCUGAUGCAUUUGCUUCCUUUCUGACUCAAGAGGCGCCAAACAGAAACAGGCCCACCCACCUCUGCGUGGCUGACUUCCACCCUCUGGAAUGUGCACUCACCUCUUAUCUUUCCUGCCUGUUUGACCUCCCAGUCUUGCCCGUCUCACUCACCCCUGAACGCUCAGUGAAGAAUGAAUGAGCCCUCGGGAGCCCCGCUCCCUGGAUGCUUGUGAUUUAUCAAAAGCCCGGAGACUUGAGUGCAAGUACCAGCUCCUUCACUUACUGGCGGUGAAAGCUGUAGCCUGAGUUUCCAGGUCCUACGGUGUCAUGGUGAAGGCCACAGUGCUGCCCACAAAGCACAUAGCGCAAGAGCCCCCAAACAAGCGCAGAAUGAGCCCCGAAUGAAGAGUGCUACACUUAUUGCUGACACGCGUCCUGAAUUUGAACUCCUUCCCUUGUCCCACUUGCCCGGCUCUUGAAUAGGAAGUCCUUCUUGGAGUCUAACCUCAAGCCUUCAUGACAAGGCACAAGCCGGUGUUCCGCCUCUGUUGGAGUCUGAGGACAGAGGCGGACGAGACUACACUGGCUGUUGGGAGAAGCCGCCUCCCUGCAAGGGGAUGGGGCCAGGAGGGAGAUUACGGAGGCGCCGGGCCCAGGGCUCCGCCAUGCACCUGCCACGGCUCCAGUGAAGAUCAGGAACCUGCCAGCUUACCCCACCCCAUGAUCUCAUGGCUGUGCCUGCCAGGCGCUGGCUCAGGGAGCAGGUGCUGAUGGCAGGGCCUGGGCACAGAGCCCAAGGACAAGAAGGCGGGAAGGCUGCGAGGGCCAACAACAGGGCUGUCCCCGAAGGGCUCCAAUGCCAGGUCCCUCCGACCUCCGUGUGCUGCAGUUGGCUAGUGACCCACCGUCCAGGCUCCUCCUCCCAGGCCCCCUCCCACUGGGCAAUCCCCUAGACCAACGGAUACGGGGAGGAGAGGCUCCCUCUUCUUCCCCAAGCGUCAGUGUCUCCCUUAGCAUCUCUUUCAGCAUCUCCCUGCCCCCAACUGCUGGCCCCUGGGCGGGAUGCCACUGUUUUAAAGCAUGGAGUUUGUUGGGCGGGAGAUGAAUGGCCAAAUCCUAUCAUUCCUGAGGCUAAGUGCCAGUUUAUAAAGUGACUAUGAAGCCCCAAGUAGAUGCCUCUGUCCCAGUUUCGGGGCGUCCUUAGAGGUGAGGACUGGGCAGGAAUCAACCUCAGUCCCGUGUUCUCCUGUGUCUUGAUCCUCAGUCACUCCUUCCCCAAAGCUCCCCUCCACCCACCGCAAAAUCCACAAAAUCCAUGACUGAGGUCGAGACGCCCUCCGCCCAGCCUCAGCUGGAUAGGCGGCAGCCCGUGGAAGGCAGCAGGGGGACAUCUGGUGGUAAGCCCAGGCCUUGGCCUUCCUGAUUCCAUCCCAGGGGUGAAGGGUCACCAGGGGCUCUGGACCACCAGAGGCUCCAUUUGCCUCUUGAUUCCAAGGGGAAGCCCUCAACCUGGGCCCAGAGCUCUAUCCCUCAGGGUACUCGUUCUGUUCCCCACCUCACUGUCAUCUCAGCCCGGCCCCCUGCCCAUGCCUCCCUCCCCCCACCAGGGAGCUCCUACCCAGCCCCCCACCUUCCAGCAGCUCGGCCCUUCUUCUCUGCCCCAUCUCCUCCAGGGUUUGCCCCUCCCCCUCCUCAAACACCACACCAGCGCCAGUGCCCAGCUGUACCGCGGCCCCCACCUUGGACUGUGGGCUGAGAUGUGCCAGCCACCUUCCAGGGAAUCCCCGAAAACCAUGACAGCGCCCUCCCUCCAAUCCUGGCUGUGUCCUCAUCCCCCCUCCCCCCCCAACACACACACCAGUCCAUCCUUCCCUCCCCACCCCUGCCCUCCAGUCCCUCUCUGUAAAGGAAGGGGCUGGACUGAGGGCCUCUCUUGCUCAGGAGCUCUGUGAACUUGGUACUUCUCUACACUGCCCCAGGCCCAGGCCCAGGCCCAGGCCCAGCCCCAAAGCAGCCGAGCAUGGAGACAGGUUGACUGUGGGCCUGCUAUCUCCCCAUUAGCACCCUGGCCCCCCUGAGAAGGAGGCAGCAGGCCUGAUUAAGCACCCCCUGCACUUCUCAGAAUCCCCCUCCACCUCCCCAGGGGCUCCAUGCUUCCCCCUCAUCUCUCUCCCCAGACAUCCCAAGGGAAGACAGCCAGGCAGACCUGGGCCACACUCCUGGAGAGAGAACCUGGCUCAAGGCCGCACCAUAUUUCCAUGUCAUUUCCAAGUGGCCCCAGGUGGGCUGGGCAGGCGUGGGGCCGGACAAUCCCCACCCAGGAGGCAGGGCAAAUUCUCAGGGUAGCAGGUCACUGAGCCAAGGCUCUGGGGCACGGCUCCUAGGGACUGGCAGGUUCCAGAAUAAUGAUGCUGCUGGGAUGCGAGGCGCUUGCUGCUCCCCCUGCCUGCCCGCACCCCAAGGAAAGCCUUGUCCCUCCCCAGCCUGGUCCACACACACCCCUCACUCCACUCUGGGAAGCUUUCCCCAGCCAACCCCACCCAGCUCUUACCACCGCUUAUUCCGCGUCCCCUUGGCAAUUAGACCAGAGUUUUCCCUGUGUUCAGUUGUCCUCGGUUUAUGUGUUGCUUUGCAAACGUUCUCAGAAAGCUUCAUCUUCCACAGUCAUCACUAGCUGUGAGUCCCUCUCUCUGUUAAUUAAGCCCGUUUUGCCGGGAUAUGAGUCCCUGCCCUACAGAAGUGCCAAGAAAAGCUCUGGAAUCGAAGUCACAUCUCUCUUCCUGCAGCUUGUUUCCCUUGGGAAGCAACCCAUCUCAACAAUGAAAUUCUCAAAAAUCAGCAGCUUCUCCCCAAGUCCAAGUUCCUGCCUUGAUUGCCAGAGAGACCCCAGAUAAGGUUGCAUCAGAGCAGGAGUCUCCGGGGAGAACCUGGCAGGGGUCCGCUCUUCCUCAAGGGAAGCUUCUCCCUCCGGAGCACUGCAAACCUUCAGAGACCAGGUUCCCCCUUCCUGGCUGCUGGAGCCAAGCUGAGUGCUCAUGCUGUGUCCCCACCACCACCACCCCUAGGUCUGCAGUAAGAUGUAAGGACAGCCUGGCCUGGUAUUGAAUCUGCACCCUAGCACUUGCUAGUUGUGUGGACUUGAGUGCUCUGGACCUCGGCUCCCUCCUGUAUAAAAUGGGCACAAUAAUAAGAACACUUGGAGA
rnacentral:lncRNA from 1 species